UUUGAAGAAUUCAUCAGAACGAAGCAAAAAUGGCUACGAUUCUGGACAGUCAUCUUGCAUUGUAGAGUCCAAAUGACAUUAGCUUUUUCUAAACUUACUGACGAUCGAUUCAUUCCGGCACUUUUCCGUCGCCACUGCAUCGCAAAAUCUCCGCCAUGUUAGAGACCGUGCUGGUUCAGACAGCCAUUGAUUCUUCAGCAUUUUGGUGUUUUCUUCCUCCCAAUGAUAGGAGCUCCACCUAUUGGAAUUGUUACACUUUCCAUUCUACAUGACCAGUUUAAAGGUUCUACAUUGAUUGUGUUUCAUGAAGAAAAUGAUGGUCAUACGCUAAAAAGACUGUGAAGCUGAGGAUGAUAAUGCUUGAUUGAUGUAAUUGUUUGGAACGAUGGUGUAGUGAGGAGGGAAUGAAGAUAAGUUUUAGCAUGAAAUAGGUGUCCACGUGAUGGUGAGAAUGAAAAAUGGUCACAAUCAGGAUGAGAAUAAAAGAGAGAUGAAGGUUGGACCAGUAGCCAUUACCCCAUGUCAAUUAUGGUUACGAAGCAGAGUAUUUAAAGCCAGUGGAAAUGAGGGAAUGAAGAGGAUGAUUUUGAUGAUAAUCAUAUGUUGGGGGCGAGGUUCGAGAGUAUAGUUUCAUCUCUCUCACCAUUUUCAUCUCCUUCGUUGUAGGAUAUCUGAUCUGAAUGGUCGGAGCAAGCUUUGCAGUUGCUCAUGAGGCUGAUUGUAGUCGGGUCCAAAAGAGCGGACUCAGAUAAUAAGAUAUAGUUUGACGAAAGCUUCUUGAACACACAACACUCCCUCUUUCUACCGCAUGCGCACGCAGACCCCGAAUCGGAAACCAUGCUUAUAUCAAGUCUUUCAAAAAGGCUGGUUCUUUUGUCAAACCCAAGUGAGGAUGGUAACAUUUGUGAUCUCUAGUCUGUGUAGGAAUAAAAAAACACUACCCCCACUGGCCCUUUUUACUAGAUGUCAAAUUUCUCCCCUCUUCUACCAAACCAUGUGAUAUAACUAUAACCUGUCCAAUCCAUGUUUUAACAGAUCAGGUGGAAGCGGAAGAAAACAACCUCAAGAUAUAUUGGCAGAAGACAUCAUCUGCAGGACACUGAGCAACAGAGAAACGAGGGAACAUGAUGAAAGGGGGAUCCCAAGCGUAGGAAAAUGAAACUGAAGCACGAGGCUGUACAGUG